UGUACUUCGUUUAAUGAGAACUAACAGAAGGUAUAAACUACAUAUGAUGGGUGCAUGUUCAGAACAGGAUUAUAACACCAUUUUCUGACCUUUGCACAUAAAGAAAGAAGCUAGAUUCGCAUGCAAGAGCCCUCGCUAUGGGUUCUUCAUUAUUUGUCCCUGAACGUCGACGUUUAGUAUUCUUUGUGUUGCUGUGGUGCUGGAAGGGACGAAAGGAAAAGGAAGGGAUACGUUUCAUCCCGGGCCUGCUAGUGGAUUAAUCAGUAAGGCUACCUAGCAGGCCCUGUCGUACAAGGCACACGUACAAGCGGAGUCAAUUUUGUAGUGUGAAUAAUUUUUGUAAAUAUCUCGGAAAUUAAGGCCAAACGGCAAUUAUUGUUCAGAUAAAAGUUGUUUAGAAUCUCAUCCUCUAUAACAUAUUCAAAAAUCAUAAGGAUCGACUUACGUAUUCUGCAUUUUUUAACAAUUUUGUUUUUUG